rnacentral:rRNA from 1 species
UACGUAGGGUGCAAGCGUUGUCUGGAAUUAUUGGGCGUAAAGAGCUCGUAGGCGGUCUGUCGCGUCUGCUGUGAAAACUCAGGGCUUAACCCUGAGCUUGCAGUGGGUACGGGCAGACUAGAGUGCGGUAGGGGAGACUGGAAUUCCUGGUGUAGCGGUGAAAUGCGCAGAUAUCAGGAGGAACACCGGUGGCGAAGGCGGGUCUCUGGGCCGUAACUGACGCUGAGGAGCGAAAGCUAGGGGAGCGAAUGGG